rnacentral:rRNA from 1 species
CUACGGGAGGCUCCAGUGGGGAAUAUUGCACAAUGGAGGAAACUCUGAUGCAGCAACGCCGCGUGGAGGAUGACACUUUUCGGAGCGUAAACUCCUUUUAUAUAGGAAGAAGAUGACGGUACUAUAUGAAUAAGCGCCGGCUAACUCCGUGCCAGCAGCCGCGGUAAUACGGAGGGCGCAAGCGUUACUCGGAAUCACUGGGCGUAAAGAGCGUGUAGGCGGAUUAAAAAGUCAGAAGUGAAAUCCUAUAGCUUAACUAUAGAACUGCUUCUGAAACUCUUAAUCUAGAAUGUGGGAGAGGUAGAUGGAAUUUCUGGUGUAGGGGUAAAAUCCGUAGAGAUCAGAAGGAAUACCGAUUGCGAAGGCAAUCUACUAGAACAUUAUUGACGCUGAGACGCGAAAGCGUGGGGAGCAAACAGGAUUAGAUACCCUAGUAGUC